UACAGAGGGUGCGAGCGUUGUCCGGAAUCACUGGGCGUAAAGGGCGCGUAGGCGGCCUGGUAAGCGUGCGGUGAAAGCCCGGGGCUCAACCCCGGGUCGGCCGUGCGAACUGCGAGGCUGGAGCACUGUAGAGGCAGGUGGAAUUCCGGGUGUAGUGGUGGAAUGCGUAGAGAUCCGGAGGAACACCAGCGGCGAAGGCGGCAUCCUGGACUGGUCCUGACACUCAUGAGCGAAAGCGUGGGGAGCGAUCCGG
rnacentral:rRNA from 1 species